UCCCGCCCCGCCUUCCUCCCUGGUCUACUGGGGUUCCUUCCUUCUCGGUGUAACUAGGUCAGCGCAAGGUGAUCCUGAGGAGAUAGGCGGCGCUCGGGGGGCGCCCUCGUUCCUCUUAUCGCGCCUUUGUCCCUCCCUCCGUUCCUUGCCCCGCACCCUCACUUUCGCCGCCCUGUGCGUUGCCUGUCCCGGAACUGGUUCCCUCAAGCCGCCCUCACCUGUUCUGACUUCCCCUCGAGGCACAAUAGCCUGAGAGAUCAGACGUGGGAGAUUAGAUUGCUCGGCGUCAGACCUACUUCUAGGCAACCCCCCCUAGACUGGAGCUGCUCGUCGUGGACAUUAGGAUCUAGUUGGGCAUGAGCCCUUAACUUAAGGGUCGGGGGGGAAGUGGCGGGUGCGGAGAGGAGGCGUGGAGAGUGUGAGGAAGAAGAGAGGCACUCUGAGAAGAAGUCGAACAACUAACCCCUCAUUUGGCCUGGUUUGGGUGAGAAGAUUGAGUCACUUGGGGAAAAAAAUAUUGGAGAAGUCAGAGAAGGUGUAAAUCAGUGGUGCCACAAACACCAGUUUACUUCCACUUUUCACCCCCCGGGUCUGUUUUGUCUGCGUGCAGCUCUCCUCGUGUCGGAGACGCUGAGUCAGUUCUCUACUGGUCUUGCCCUCUUCCGGAAAAAGAAAACACACCUGAGAAGUGGUAGUUCCUAUCCUAACCUACUGGGGCCCUUUAUACCAGGUGCCAAACUUCAUUAUCCACCCCACCACCUUGCCCGGGAGGGAGAUCUGUGAAAGCGAAACGUGAUUUAAGCUGGGAUCUGGCAGCAACUUCGUGGACUCUGAAGGGCACGUGGGAAAGGAGUUUUGAUUGAAGAGUAAUUUUAUGCUGAUUGAAGAAAAGAAGUAAACAGAGUUCCAGAAAGCAACUGCAAAUACUCAUUUUGAAAAAGAAAACAAAACAAAAACAAGGGAGACAUUUUAAAAGGUGCUAAAGCAACAGGACCAGUUGCCAGAGAGCUUAUUUUACCUCCCCAAAACAAGAUUGGUGUUUCAUCCUUGAGUUUAGUACACAGGAUUGUUCUUAUUCUUCUGCAGAUAGAGAGGUGCACUGCUUUAUGCUGCAAGUUGUCUAUAAGACAAGUUUUGUGAGUAUCAAAUAUUUGUAAGCAAAUCAAAUUUCUCCCCCAGUUGAAAUGAUUAUUUCAGAAGAAUUUCUUCUUUGUUUUGAAUUGGACUUCUGAGUUGGACUUCUCAGCAUGAUAAAGAAGAAAGAGCAUUAGAAUAAGAAAGAAGAUUAAGCUUCUUGUUUUGAUUAUGCCCAUAAUCAGCUGUGGGACCCCGGGCUAAUGCACUCCAAAAUCCCACUGUUCUGUGACCUUGCUAUGUGGGGCAUCAGCCUCCUCAUCUCUAAUAUUUUGGAUUUAAGUUAGUUGAUUUUUAUGGUCCCGCAAUGGAAUUCUUUAAACAACUCCACUAAUCCAUGAUACUGUUGCUUUAAAAAUCUUGGUUUUAGCUUUCCUCUAAGGAAUUUAUAGUGACAAUUAUCUACUUUUUUUUUCUUAAAUAAAAAUAGAGGUGGGGUUUUGCCAUGUUGCCCAGGCUGGUCUCAAACUCUUGGGCUCAAGUGAUCUGCCCACCUUGGCCUCCUAAAGUGCUGGGAUGACAGGUGUGAGCCACUGUACCCGGCCAGACCAUAUGUCUCUAGCAUUUUGAUAACAUUCUCUACAAUCUGGGCCCUGUAUAACUCCCCAGUCUUCAGACUACUACUCUCUAUGCUCACAUCUUUGGCGAUUUUAUACUCUUUGCCAAUUUAGAUGCCAUUUGUUUUUUCGUUUCCAGUAGAUUAGUAUGUCCAACCCAGAUUUUGGUAAACCCUAGACUCAUUCUACAGUCUGUGACAUCUCCAUUUGGAUUUCUUAUUGGCAUCUCAGACUCCAUAUGUCUAACCUGGAAUGCCUGAUCUCCAUUGCCUCCUAAACCGGCUUCUCUCACGGCUCUCCCAUCUCGGGGCCCAGCAUCUCAGACCUUUGCCUUGCUUACACCAGACAUUUUGUUGUUAUCUGUACCACCUCCUUCUCGUGCAGUCUACUUGAUGCCACCUAAUUGGUAUCCCUGGCUUCUGCCCUUGUUCUCUUAACGAAUCAUUUUCCAAACAGCAGCCAGAGUGAUCCUUUCAAAAAUGGAUUCAGAAAUCAUGUCACUGCUCUGCCCAAAGUUCCCAAAUGACUUCCCAGUCACUCAGAGCACAAGCUGACGCUCGACACAUCUGGGCCCCGUAAGAUUUUCAUUUCUGCUCCUCCUCCUUUUGCUCACUCUGCCCCUGCCACAUUGGUCUCCUGCUUUCCCGGAACUUGCCCAACAUGUUCCUCCCUCAGGGCCUUCACAUUUGUCAUUUCCUGUCCUAUGAUGCUCUUCCUGCAGAUAUCUACAGCAGCUCCCCGCUGCUCCUUUUGCAGGUUUUUGUUCAGAUGUCAUCUUCCUGGUGAGCUCUUCCCUGAACAACUCCUCACCCCCUCCACCUUGCCCCUGGGACUCCCUUUGACCUUUCUCGGAUUGUUUUCCCUGUAACUCUUGCCACCACCUCAUACAGGGCUUCUCAAGCUUGGCAUGAUUGGCAUUUUGGGACAGUUCUUUGUUGCGGGCUAUUAUCCUGUGCCUUGCAGGAUGUUUAGCAGCAUCACCACCCUCGACCCACUCAAUACCUGCAACUUUCCUCCCUAGGUUGUGACAGCCAGAAAUGUCUCCAGACACUGCCAAAUGUCUCCUGGGGGACAAAACCACCCCUGGUUGAGAAUCUUUGAUAUAAUGUAAAUAUGCAUUUUACCUAUGUAUUUGUUUAUUGUUCCUCCCUUCCCCACCAAUAAAAUAUAAUCUCCAUGAGAACAGGAAUUUUUGUGUCUAUUUUCCACUGAUGUAAUGCAGGCACUCUGAAUAGGGUAUGAUGCAUAGUAGGUGCUCAAACAGAUAUUUCACUGGUGAAUAAAUGAAAUGUGCUCUGACCUUGUUCCUCUGUGCUCAUUAAGCUCUAGCCACACUGACCUUUCUUCCACCUCUCAGACAUCUGAAGCUCCUUCUCACCUUUCAGUCUUUUUCUUUCAGAUCUCACUCCUGGAAAGCUCUAUUCGCAGGUCUCUGUUUACUUGUUACUCAGGUCCAAUAACACCUGCUUAGAGAGGCUUCCCUGAUCACCGUAUCCUACAUGACCCUCCCUGCCAGCCAGAGUCACUGUCUAUAUUGUUACUGUGUUUUAGUUUCUGCAUUACAUUUGUCUUGGAAAUUAUCUUGUUUACGUGGCAGGUGUACAUCUUGCUCCCUUAAAUGAAUGCUCCUUGACCACUCCACAUUAUCUGCUUUGUUUAUUAACGGCAGUAAUCUAAAACAGUAGUCUAAAACAGUGCAAGGCCCAUCGUUGAUGGGCUGAUUAAAUAAGUAUGCCUGUCUUUUAAUCAAUUCAGGGUGGAAGAGAGUCUCUAUAGAAAGGGUUUAAGGGCUGUGUCUGUCAAGGUCCAGUAGCAAAAAAAAAGAAAAAAGAAAAAAAAA
rnacentral:lncRNA from 1 species